UACGGAGGGGGCUAGCGUUGCUCGGAAUUACUGGGCGUAAAGAGCACGUAGGCGGGUAUUCUAGUCAGGCGUGAAAGCCCCAGGCUCAACCUGGGAACUGCGCUUGAUACUGGAUACCUAGAGUCCGAGAGAGGGUGGUGGAAUUCCCAGUGUAGAGGUGAAAUUCGUAGAUAUUGGGAAGAACACCAGUGGCGAAGGCGGCCACCUGGCUCGGUACUGACGCUGAGGUGCGAAAGCGUGGGGAGCAAACAGG
rnacentral:misc_RNA from 1 species